rnacentral:lncRNA from 1 species
UGUUCCCAAAUUUAUUCAUCGCGUGUGGCCUCGUAUGUAAUUCACGGACCACCGUCCUACUGAUCUAUACUGGCAUCAGACAUAAUACUUAUUCCGAUUGCUUUGAACCCCUUUCACACUUUGUUUCAGGCUUCGAACGAUUGCCUACCCGUUUGAAACUCCUCAUGGUACUUUCUUACUUGCUCUCGGCUUUUCUUAAGAUUUAGUUCGAGAGAUACUUUCCGCCACCUUCCCCGAUGAUAUUGACCAGAUAGUAAACCCUGCAGAAGUCCGUUCUUCCAGAAUACCCCCUUACUCUGUCGUAAGUACGAUGGAGUUCCCGAAGAAAGGACGACAACUUUAUCAUGAUGACCUGAAACAGCAGAAUGAAGUCAUCAAGGUAAUGGAUCAACCUCUUCGAGAAGAACAACCAAGACCAAGAACACUCCCUAGAAUUUCGUAACCCGAACCUUCCCCCUUUACUUCCCUCUUAAAUUUCGGGACGAGAUUUCUUGUAGUGGAGGAGAAUUGUGACGCCCGGAUGAUCAAGCUACAGUAAACCUCUGCUAAUGGUGCCACGUCACCUCGGUUACUGUUGAUAAACUCGAGUUAGUUCAAAAACGAUUCAAGUUAAAAUUUAAAAUAUAGGCCAACAAUAAAAGUUUUCAAAUAAUGAAAACUAAACUAAAAACUGAAAACUAAAUUGUUCAAAAUUUAGAAAAUAAAUCAUGGGUGAUUGUGGUGGAGAAACCACAUUUUGAUAAAAUGUUUAGAUGCAAUAAAUUAAUUAAAACAGGGGCUAAACAAUUACUUAAAUGCUUUUAAUUAGCAAACAAAUAUAAACCUAUUUUAUUAAAGUGUGAAACUUCUUGUGACAGAGGGGUAAUUUAAAACACUAAUUUAAGUGUUGGUCUCAUAUUUUUAUAAAACUAAAAUCUACUAGUAAUAAAAUAAAACAGUAAAGAAAAAAGGAAAAGAAACAAACAAACAAAAAAGAAAAAGAAA